UAGUAGGUGGGGUAACGGCUCACCUAGGCGACGAUCCCUAGCCGGCCUGAGAGGGCGACCGGCCACACUGGGACUGAGACACGGCCCAGACUCCUACGGGAGGCAGCAGUGGGGAAUAUUGCACAAUGGGCGCAAGCCUGAUGCAGCGACGCCGCGUGAGGGAUGACGGCCUUCGGGUUGUAAACCUCUUUCAGUAGGGACGAAGCGCAAGUGACGGUACCUAUAGAAGAAGCACCGGCCAACUACGUGCCAGCAGCCGCGGUAAUACGUAGGGUGCGAGCGUUGUCCGGAAUUACUGGGCGUAAAGAGCUCGUAGGCGGUUUGUCGCGUCGUCCGUGAAAACUUGGGGCUCAACCCCAAGCUUGCGGGCGAUACGGGCAGACUUGAGUACUGCAGGGGAGACUGGAAUUCCUGGUGUAGCGGUGAAAUGCGCAGAUAUCAGGAGGAGCACCGGUGGCGAAGGCGGGUCUCUGGGCAGUAACUGACGCUGAGGAGCGAAAGCGUGGGUAGCGAACAGGAUUAAAUACCCUGGUAGUCCACGCCGUAAACGGUGGGCGCUAGGUGUGGGUUUCCU
rnacentral:rRNA from 1 species